rnacentral:rRNA from 1 species
CAAGUUUGACCUCAAAUCAGGUAGGAAUACCCGCUGAAC